UAGUAACAGUAAUACAGGUAAUGAUGAUAACUCUUUAUAUAAUAAACCUUCUUUUAUACCAUAUACUACAAAUAAUUUUAACAAUAAUAAUAUACCUGACUUGAACAAUAUAUCAAUAAUGUCUGUAACUAAUAGUAAUAUGAUCAGUUCUAAAAAAAUAAUGACAUAAACGAUACGUCUAAUGUACAUAACAUAAAUCAAAUAAAUGAUAAAAAAAAAAAUAGAUAAUUUUGGUAAAAAUCCAUUAAUUAUAAAAAUGAAUAAAUAUGUUAAUAAUGAUAAUAGUAUUAAUGACAAUAAUAUUAAUAAUACUAAUAACAUGAGUACUAGUGCUAGUAAUACAACAAAUAACAUGUGUUAUAACAGUACUACUUCUACAGUGGAAACAUAUACUAAUACUAAAAGGAAUGUAUAUUUAAAUACAUUAACAAAAGAAAUACAAAAUCAUAAUAAGUAUAACAAAUUACAUAAAAAUAUAUAUAAUAGUGAUAAUCAAAAAAAAUAGUAACACAUAUAAAGCAUUUAAUGAUAAUAACUAUUAUAAUAAUAACAAUAAUUUAUAUUUAAAUGAAAAUAAUGAGAUUUUGUACAAAACAAACAAUUAUUUUUCCAACAACCUAGACAUAAAUAAUAACAACAUUAACAAUAACAAUAUUUACAACAGUAAUAAUAACAAUAGUAACAAUAAUAACAAUAAUAACAAUAGUAACAAUAAUAACAAUAAUAACAAUAGUAACAAUAAUAACAAUAAUAACAAUAGUAACAAUAAUAACAAUAACAAUAGUAACAAUAACAAUAGUAAUAACAAUAAUAACGAUUCAUCGGGACCAUAUAUUAAUUUAAAUAAAACUUUAAAUAACAAUACAUGGUCAGAUAUAGGUUAUAAUUAUCAAAAUUAUUUAGAUAGAGAAGAUCUCAAUACAGAUCAUAAAAUUUAUAACAGAAAUUCUUUAUUAGCAAGUAAUCCUACAGAUAAACAGAAUAAUAAUGUGUACAGUAAUAACAAACAAAGAACGCUUGAUAUAAUACAAGGUGACAAUAACAACAAUAAUAAUGGAAUUGAAAACGUUAGUCAUAUAAACAAUUCUACUGAUAUUAACAGCACAAAUCAUUUAUUUAAUACUAAUUAUGUUGAACCUUUUAAUACUAUGAAUAUUAUAAAAAACACCAGUACGAAUUCUGUAUCAAAUACCAACAGUAUAUUAUAUUAUCAGGGCCAGAUGAUUAACCAUAAUAAAAUUAAUAACAUGCAUGCCUACUUUGAUUCGGAUUUAAACGAUAUGAGAGACAUGGUGGAAGAUACUGAGAUAAAUGCACCUAAACCCAAACAGUUUUACAACAGCAGUUCUCAUUCUUUGGAGUUAGUAAACAAAAAAAGAAUUAGAAAAAAUAAACUUUCACAACAACCCACAAGUGUUUUUGACGGUAACGUUAAAGUUGUAUAAAUACAUUUAACCUGUUUAAAAAAUUGAAAAAAGCAUACAAAUCCCAAAAAAAAAAAAAAAUAAUAAACAAAAUAAAAUAAAACA
ensembl:lncRNA